rnacentral:rRNA from 1 species
AGAGUUUGAUCCUGGCUCAGGAUGAACGCUGGCGGCGUGCCUAACACAUGCAAGUCGAACGGAUCCAUACUGAAACCUAGUGAUGUAUGGAUUAGUGGCGGACGGGUGAGUAACGCGUGGAUAACCUGCCGUAUACAGGGGGAUAACACUUAGAAAUAGGUGCUAAUACCGCAUAAGCGCACGGUUCCGCAUGGAACAGUGUGAAAAACUCCGGUGGUAUACGAUGGAUCCGCGUCUGAUUAGCCAGUUGGCGGGGUAACGGCCCACCAAAGCGACGAUCAGUAGCCGGCCUGAGAGGGUGAACGGCCACAUUGGGACUGAGACACGGCCCAAACUCCUACGGGAGGCAGCAGUGGGGAAUAUUGCACAAUGGGGGAAACCCUGAUGCAGCGACGCCGCGUGAGUGAAGAAGUAUUUCGGUACGUAAAGCUCUAUCAGCAGGGAAGAAAAAAAGUCCUUUGGACUUUGGACGGUACCUGACCAAGAAGCCCCGGCUAACUACGUGCCAGCAGCCGCGGUAAUACGUAGGGGGCAAGCGUUAUCCGGAUUUACUGGGUGUAAAGGGAGCGUAGACGGCAGCGCAAGUCUGGAGUGAAAUGCCGGGGCUCAACCCCGGAACUGCUUUGGAAACUGUGCAGCUCGAGUGCAGGAGAGGUAAGCGGAAUUCCUAGUGUAGCGGUGAAAUGCGUAGAUAUUAGGAGGAACACCAGUGGCGAAGGCGGCUUACUGGACUGUAACUGACGUUGAGGCUCGAAAGCGUGGGGAGCAAACAGGAUUAGAUACCCUGGUAGUCCACGCCGUAAACG